rnacentral:ncRNA from 1 species
CAACUGACUCUUGGAAAGGGAGCCUCACGCAGUAAUGCAUGAGUGAACAUUCGACUAUAUGCUAGGACGUCCUGAGAGCCUGAACUACUUCGAAUGAAGUAAAAAUGUUCAGGAUUGGAUAAUUAGCAGGCAACCCUCAAGCAGUUUGAGGAAGUCCUCAGAGGCCAUACGUCGAACAUCCGAACAGGUAAGGCUGAGGAUGAUGAAAUGGUCCAGACCGCAACGUCUGUGCGA